GAAUUUGAAUCCAGGUCGGCCAGUCUCCAGAAUCUCUGCAUAACUGGGGUCCGUCACCUAGUGCCGUUCCAAGGCUUGUAUCGCUGCUGUCUCAAUAGGUAGAGGUCCCUUAGAAAUGCCAGCCAUGCCCCGUAAUCCUACAGCACAUGCCGUCGCUCUGCCCUGUCAGCUGUUUCUGUCACCCAGCCUCCUUUUGUCUUGGGAUGUCCUGACGAUGGGGUUCGGUGCCUUUCACCCACAUGCGGUUCCUUUCUCAUGGAGCUGAAGAGAGCAGUUGUUUGGCUGGAGGUUUUAUUCUGUGGUGGCCGAGAACUUGAGUUGGGACAUCAGACAGAUCAGCUAGUGAAUAAUAAAAGUGGAAAGAGUAAUCCUCUCAACUACCCUGGGUCAUCGUGGGAGAUGAAAUGAGAUACCCCCACCCUGAGGCACUUAGUUCAGCAUGUGGCAUAUUUAUUGAGUAGUUAGCUAUUAUUAUUAGCUCACUCUGAAUUACGGAACUGAUCAAACCAUGUGUCUUGAUUUUAUUCUUAAUUUAGAAAGUCCCCAUAAUCCUCAGUUAUGACUGGCAAAGAACGAGGGGUCUGCAGUGGAGACCAGCUGCCCAAUUUUCACUUUUCCUCAGGAGUUGACAUCAAAAUUACUAUCUGUGUGCCUUUGUCCUGGCAUAGAGCUGAAUGUUAUUUACUAGUUCUCUUCUUGGCUACACAGGGGUGGCAGUCCCCUCUGUUCUUCCACCCUUACUGCAAGGUUGAAAAUUUGUAGAAGUUUCUUGAGUAACACUGACUCUAAGGGCUCGAUCUCAAUAACUGCUGUGUGUGGAACAUGGGCUUCCUGUGAAUUGUAUUUUGAAGUGUUUUCACUGACUCCUGAAGUAGAUUAAUCCAAAUGCUGAGGAAGGAAUAACAACUGCCAUUUUAUAGGUAGGAAAUUGAGUUUUAGAGGUUGCGUUUUAGAGAAUUUGCCAAGAAUCCAGCUAUUAGUGGUGGAGUUGGGAUUCUAAUCAGGACGGGCUCACUUACGAGCCUGUAGUGUUAACCUCUCGGCAGAAAUUGCUUUGGCUCAUGCCCUUAGCGUGACGGUGGCCUCGGAAGGGGAGGAAGAGGACCUGUCAGGGUUACAAGGCUGUGCCUUCGAGGCCUGGCCCUGGGAGAGACACCGAGAGGCCCAGAGCUGCCUGUUAACGGAUUAGUCGGAGAGGCUUCUUUUCCUCACAGGUCAUAUCUUAUCAAUUGAGAACACUUUCCACCUAGAAGACACAUGCUUAUUGUAAGACAACUGGGUCCCCCCUGUUUGUGUUCGUGAGUCUGAGACUAGCCAACAUCACCAUGUUCAGCUUGCCACGGAUGGGCUCUCCUCAGAGUUUCUUUCUGGUGAUUAUCCAAGAUGUAUUAAUUCACUUAGCAUCUUUCUUGCACAGCGGAGGACCUGAAUUGCUCAGGAAAGAAGGCAGGAUGCUACCUGAGUUCCCAGUCAUGGAGCUUGUUCUUCACAGGUAGUUAACAUGAAUAAACACGCAGCCUCCAACAGGUGCCUGCGAACUGCUGCCCGCUCCCCACCCUGGCAGCAGCACACUUUCGGUGGGCUGCAGAUCCAGAGGCGUAAAGCGGUGGGCUUGUGUGUUAUGGGCUUGGGGUGUGUUCCUUUUCCAGGGGCUUUUAAAAAAUGGUAAUAUCCCAAAUCCUUAGACUGCUUUGCCUCGUUGGACUAUUUAUUCAACGGUGCUAUAUUUAGAUUUUGUAUAUGUGUAUAGUUUUUAUUCCUUCACAAUUGAACAAACUGUUGAUAAGUUUGAGUAUGGUGAGCCUCUCAUUAAAACUUGAAGUUUUGCUAUUUUUGCUACACUUAAUAUUUUCUUUUAUUUAUUUUUUUGCUGCACCUGUGGCAUAUGGAAGUUCCUGGGCCAUGGAUCGAAUCCAGGCCAUAGCUGCAACCUAUGGCCGAGCUGCGGCGAUGCCAGAUCCUUAACCCAUUGUACCAUAGCAGGAACUCCUGCAUUUACUAUUUUAAACUUGUUUUGCUUGGGUUACAUCUCAGAGCUAGGUGUAUCACCAGAAUUAGCAUUUUAAGCUUUCCAUUUUCUCCUCUCAUUAAAAAACAGCAAUAACAAUCUGGGCUGGUGUUUGAAAGAAACUUCAGGUUUAUAAGGAGCUUUGUGGCUGCUGAGAUCUGUUCCGUUUCGCUGCUAGGGUCCAGCAGGAUAGGGAGAACUCUUUCUCUUGUAUUGUCAGCUCCUUAGUAGGGACAUAGCACAAAGACACAGUCAGGUAAUUUUGCCACACUGUUGAGCCCGUGGCUGGUGACACUGCUGUUAUUGAAUUGCGGGCAGGCCGGCAGGCGACACCACCAUGGGAUACCUGGGGAAUGUGGUGUUUGACCGUCUCGGCCUGAACGAAGGGUGAAGCACUGCCCGAGGAUCCGCCCAGAUGCCGGGCUUUUGCCGGCGGAUGGUGGCUGUCAGGCACCCGCUGGAGCUCAGGCUUUUCAGAACUUCAAUGCCCACAUCUUUGGCAUUAUCCUUUCUGGAUCCCUGCCACCAUAAUAAUAACAUUAAGAAUAAUAAUAUCUUCACUUGGCAAACCCGAAAAUGACUCUGGACUACCUAUACCUCUUCUAAAAAAGGCAGCUUGAGCCAGCUGUUGAAUUUCAUACAUGAUAUGAUUUGUUUCACCUUCCAACUCCAGGCUGGAGCUGAGAAACUGGGUGUUUUUAUUCAAAGCCUUAAUUCAUAUCCAUAUGAAAUUUUCUUGUCUCUCUCUUAUUCUUCCAACAUCCUGUUUUGUGAAAGGAGUGCCAGCUUCCCCUUUUCCCCUCCCUGUUUUGAAACAGUUGCUUAGAAAACGCUUGUCUGUCAUUCCGGGACAGAAAAGCUAACUGAGGACAGAGUCGCUACUGGUCAUUUUCAGGUGAGGAGGGAGCAGGCGCCGUGAGCCUGAUAUCCACCAGCUUUUCAACAAUGUUCUUCCCUCCCUUCCACUCUGCCAGGAUUCAGAGUGGACCAGGUGGUUUUGCAGAAAUAAUGCAUCCAUUGGACAAGUAGAAUGGUGAACUGGACUGAGGUAGCUUUUUCAUCUGUUUUCUCCAAGGGACCUAUGAAAUGGGUCUGUUUAGAUGACUUUGAGGAUCUUAUAUAAUUAUUUAAAAUUAGAAUGACUAAUAAGAUAGAUAUUUAUUGGGCCUUAGAAUUAACAGUCACCUGGGGUGCUUGUUCAAAAAUGCAGAUUUUUGGAGUUCCCAUCGUGGCUCAGCCAGGGAUCGAACCUGCAACCUCAUGGAUACCAGUCAGAUUUGCUUUCACUGCACCACGAUGGGAACUCCAGACCAGUUUGUUAAUUAUGCAGUGUGGGUACCAUAGAAGUAUAAAACAGAUUGGAAAAAUGGUUAUUCAUAUAUUUUACAGUAUUUUUUUAGAAUUUUGCAAGUAAUGUUAUUCUGUUACAUGUAAACAAGUGGAAUAUAGCUGCUCUUGGGACACCAGUUAAUAUCAGAGGUAACAGUGGGCUUGUGGCUAAGAUCUUGGAAACACAGUCACUUUAAGGCAACACGAAAAGGGGUAGAGAAGCG
rnacentral:lncRNA from 1 species